GCAAAGUCGAGCGGACAGAUGGGAGCUUGCUCCCUGAUGUUAGCGGCGGACGGGUGAGUAACACGUGGGUAACCUGCCUGUAAGACUGGGAUAACUCCGGGAAACCGGGGCUAAUACCGGAUGGUUGUUUGAACCGCAUGGUUCAGACAUAAAAGGUGGCUUCGGCUACCACUUACAGAUGGACCCGCGGCGCAUUAGCUAGUUGGUGAGGUAACGGCUCACCAAGGCGACGAUGCGUAGCCGACCUGAGAGGGUGAUCGGCCACACUGGGACUGAGACACGGCCCAGACUCCUACGGGAGGCAGCAGUAGGGAAUCUUCCGCAAUGGACGAAAGUCUGACGGAGCAACGCCGCGUGAGUGAUGAAGGUUUUCGGAUCGUAAAGCUCUGUUGUUAGGGAAGAACAAGUGCCGUUCAAAUAGGGCGGCACCUUGACGGUACCUAACCAGAAAGCCACGGCUAACUACGUGCCAGCAGCCGCGGUAAUACGUAGGUGGCAAGCGUUGUCCGGAAUUAUUGGGCGUAAAGGGCUCGCAGGCGGUUUCUUAAG
rnacentral:rRNA from 1 species